AAAGAGCUAAAUUGUUAUAAAAGAGUAUGAAAAUAGCAAGGGGAUAUGGAAGAUUGGUAAGCAUACUAAUGACUGUGUUCAGCGUUGGGAUCUCCCAUGAAUUUUAAUUUGUAUACAGAUCCGCAUUCAGGACAACGGCGGAGUUUGUCUUUGUAGACAGUCAUCCAAAUUAAAUUAUGUGAACCAGAAGGACUACCAGUACAGCCAAUAUGACGGUAAGGAUCAAGAGAAGUGACCAUUAUAGGAUCCGUCAAUGUGCCUUUACGAGAAGCAUCCAACGGUUUCAUAUCAAAUGCAUCUCUCCCUGAAAGCUCUGAUAAAAGUUCAUAUCGUUCCAAACCAGUGGCUUGCUCCAAAUCAGUUGGAACCUCGCCGU